rnacentral:lncRNA from 1 species
GACAGCAGGUUUGUCUGUCUACACUCACAGCUCUCUCUAAGAGGAGACACAAGAUGAAGACUGAGGCCGUUUAUGAGGAGAUUCAGCACAGACUCACUACCAGAGACAGUCUCUUCACUCAGAGGGGAAGUGUCCUUUCUGAAGAACAGCAUUCUGGGUAUGAAGAUGCUGAUGAGCUUCUUUCAGAAGAGCUAACAAAUC